AGCUUUGCACAGUGGCAGGAUCAUAGCUAAUGAGGUUUAUCUGAGGUGCUAUUAUCACUAAUUGAAAACUGAUCUCUUAACCCAUUAUUACCUCUGCACUAGUUACUCUUCUUUCCUUUCCCCACCUUGACCCCUUGGUAAAUCAGUUCAUCUUUACAAUGUUCUCUGGAGU
rnacentral:snRNA from 1 species